AUAGAACGUUUGAUGGCAACAAGCAAUGUAACGUUAAGAGAUAACACUGAACGAUUGAAAAAAAUGGAAGAUGUAAUGAGGCGGGGCUAUCCAAUACAACAAUCUAUGGAAAGCAAUAAUUAUAUUGUGGAGUUUUUCCUCUCAACCAAAUUGAAGAUAUAAGAAAUAUAGAAGAUAUAUUGAAAACAAAUAAAGAAGCAGAAACGCUACUCAAAAGAUUUUUAUUGAAAAUUGGUGGGAAUAAUCCUAAAGACAAUAUUCAUCGGAUUUUAAAGAAUAUUUUCACAAAUAAAUGUGCCAUAGAUUGUUCUUGGAAA